GUAGGGAAUAUUGGGCAAUGGAUGCAAGUCUGACCCAGCCAUCCCGCGUGCCGGAAGAAGGCCCUCAGGGUUGUAAACGGCUUUUGACGGUGAAGAAUCGACAGGAUGCGUCCUGUUUUGACGGUAGCCGUUGAAUAAGCACCGGCUAACUCCGUGCCAGCAGCCGCGGUAAUACGGAGGGUGCGAGCGUUGUCCGGAUUUAUUGGGUUUAAAGGGUGCGUAGGCUGGAAGGUCAGUCAGCGGUGAAAAGCUGUCGCUUAACGAUAGUCUUGACGCAGAUACUUCCUUUCUUGGAUGAGGAGGAGGCCACUGGAACGGAUGGUGUAGCGGUGAAAUGCAUAGAUAUCAUCCAGAACACCGAUUGCGAAGGCAGGUGGCUGUACCUUAAUCGACGCUGAUGCACGAAAGCAUGGGGAGCAAACAGGAUUAGAAACCCGAGUAGUCC
rnacentral:rRNA from 1 species